UGGAAAGUGAGGAGCAUCUCUGCCCAGCCGCC
rnacentral:piRNA from 1 species